AUGCCAGAAGAAUGGAGACGGAGUAUAUUAGUACCAAUCUUCAAGAAUAAGGGGGGUGUUCAGAGUUGUAUUAACUACCGUGGAAUUAAGCUGAUGAGCCAUACAAUGAAGCUAUGGGAGAGAGUCAUUGAGCACCGCUUAAGAAGAAUGACAAGCGUGACCAAAAAUCAGUUUGGUCUCAUGCCUAGGAGGUCGACCAUGGAAGCCAUUUUCUUGGUACGACAACUUAUGGAGAGAUACAGGGAGCAAAAGAAGGACUUGCAUAUGGUGUUCAUUGACUUGGAGAAGGCCUAUGAUAAGAUACCGUGGAAUGUCAUGUGGUGGGCCUUGGAGAAACACAAAGCCCCAGCAAAGUACAUUACCCUCAUCAAGGACAUGUACGAUAAUGUUGUGACAAGUGUUCGAACAAGUGAUGUCAACACUGAUGACUUCCCGAUUAAGAUAGGACUGCAUUAG
rnacentral:rRNA from 1 species